CGGCGUGGAUAAGACAUGCAAGUCGAACGAUGAUUGCGAGGUAGCAAUAUUUCGCAGUUAGAGUGGCGUAAGGGUGCGUAACACGUGGAUAAUUUGCCGUAAAGUUGGGGAUAACUCCGAGAAAUCGGAACUAAUACCGAAUGUGGUGGCUGGAGGGCAUCCUCUGGCUCCUAAAGUUGGGGACCGCAAGGCCUGAUGCUUUACGAUAAGUCCGCGGCCUAUCAUGGUAGUUGGCGGGGUAACGGCCCACCAAGCCUAAGACGGGUAGCUGGUCUGAGAGGACGACCAGCCACACUGGAACUGAGACACGGUCCAGACACCUACGGGUAGCAGCAGUCGAGAAUUUUUCACAAUGGGCGAAAGCCUGAUGGAGCGACGCCGCGUGGGGGAUGAAUGGCUUCGGCCCGUAAACCCCUGUCAUUCGGGAUCAAUGCAAUCGGCCUAACACGCUGGUUGUUGAUAGUACCGGAAGAGGAAGGGACGGCUAACUCUGUGCCAGCAGCCGCGGUAAUACAGAGGUCCCAAGCGUUGUUCGGAUUCACUGGGCGUAAAGGGUGCGUAGGCGGUCGCAUAAGUCUGAUGUGAAAGCUCGGAGCUUAACUCCGAAAUGGCAUUGGAUACUAUGCGGCUAGAGGUUGGGAGGGGGGACUGGAAUUCUCGGUGUAGCAGUGAAAUGCGUAGAUAUCGAGAGGAACACCAGUGGCGAAGGCGAGUCCCUGGACCAAUCCUGACGCUGAGGCACGAAAGCCAGGGGAGCAAACGGGAUUAGAUACCCCGGUAGUCCUGGCCCUAAACGGUGCAUGUUUGCUGUGAGAGGAAUCGACCCCUUUCGUGGCGGAGCUAACGCGUUAAACAUGCCGCCUGGGGAGUACGGUCGCAAG
rnacentral:rRNA from 1 species